GCAAUGUGAAGAGAGAGUUCAAGUCAAUCUUCGAGCGUGCCAGUGGUGUUUGAAAUGUAUUCAUUAAACAAAGCAACUGCAGGAACUGAAUAAGGGGCAACAGUGUGAAGAGUUUGCAAACUCUGGACCCAGACUGCAAGAUGUCCACUUACACACUCUACAUGAUGACAAUUUCAACCCCAGUACCAAUCUCCAAAAAUUUUGUGGCCUAAUUGUUUUAGUGUCCUCUUGCUCUGUGGAACACUACCUCCAGCCUCCAGUGCUGUUUCAAGGGCAUUACAGCUGAGGCAACAUGGACACCAGAUGAAGAGAGAGGCUACUAGAAGCUGCUUGCAUUGUACCAGCAGGAGUUAUCUUCAGAGUUGCCAUCUGGGCCAGGGAUGAGGCAAUGAUGUUUUUUUAUUUAGUCACCAACACAUGGGUUCGUAUUUUCAGUAAUCUGCUCCAAAGCCAUGAUUUCUAAGAUCUGCUAUACCCGGGUGUCCCAGCAGAGACACAGAUGCAACUAGGAUUGGCACCAGAAGAGAGCUAAAUAGCAAAAGGAAGCCUAAAAUGGUGAAGCCAAAAACUGGUGUAGGGAGGAUGAUGGCUGUGAGCUGCUGCUGAGAAGAGAUAAGGCAUAUGACCCUCUGGAGGAAUUAAUUCAAAAAUACAAAGCCCAUCUGAGAGAAACCUGUGUCCUUUGCCCCCAGCGCACAUAUGAGUCAUACGCAUGUCCAGGAAAGAGGCAGCAUACCCCACCACUUUCUUAAGUGAACAAGUUCCUUCCUCUGUAUAACUAUUCCGGCCCAGAGGUAUAUUAUGUCAGAUGAACUGUCCAGUCCAUCUCCACUUUUUGCACGGGAAGGAAGCUUCCAGAUAAAGUAUACAAAUUGCUGUACCAAUGGUGGAAUUCCCCUGGAUUUUGUGCAUAACAGCAAGAAUUAAUCGAAAUUUCAGAGGAAGAUCCAAGAUAGCCUGAAAUGUUCACUGGGUAGGUGAAGGAGAGUUUCGUCCUUCCCAUCAGAUAGAUAUGUCCUAGAACAUGUAAACAAUCUUGUUUAUAUAUCCUAUUUAUGUAAGUGUUACAUUUUAGAACAGCUCUUGCAUGUUGCAUUGUUGCCGCUGUUUUUUAAAAAGGUCUUUGAGGACUUGAUCUCUUGUGCGCAUGAAUUUCCAAGAGCCAUCUAUGCAUUAUCAUAAGCAGAAGCUCACAGAUGCAAAUGGCAUUUUUUGAAAGAACUGAUAUGAGAUUUCAUUUGCAUCGUAUUUUAAAAGCCCACAUAACAAUCUUUUUCUUCAAUAGUUACAACAUAGGCCAUUAGGCCAUAUACCAUGAGAAUAAACAAUUAUAUUAAUUUUGCAGUGUAAAGAACGAAAACAGUGUAUAUACAUGCAAUUUUAGGCAUAUGAAGGCUAUUUAUAUCUGAAAUUUGACAGCUUUGAGUAUACUUCCACAGUAUUUUACUAUUGGUAUACAGAGAAUGUCGGUCUAUGUUACUGAUAGCUGACUACAUUUAUAUUUACACUACAGAAUGUAGCAGGUUUGUGUAAUUAUGAUAUCCCAUCUGAUACCAAUCCUUUUUAAAGUACUAUGAUAUGUACUUUCAUGGCCAUGUAACAGAUUUGCAUUUAAAGCUUCUAAAUUAAGCAUUCCAAAUUAGGUAUGAGUUUUUCCUUUAAAGUGCUUGGAGGCUGUUGGACACCGAAGGUGCUUUAAAACCCAGUCUCACCCUCCUUUGGAAUGGCACAUCAAUGCAGGGAACCAUUCAGAGAACAAAGGCAAAUGCGAAGGGGGAAGUACUAAAGAGCUUACACAGUACCUACUUUAAAACCUCCACUGAAGUAAAAGGCUGUGACAUUUGAACUCAAAGGCAUUUAAGCACCCAGCUAACUUUGUGUUUAAAAAAUACAUGUGAGUAAUACCUAUCUGACUGAGAAAAUGGACCUUACUAAUUGUGACAAAUUCUGAAACAAGCACUACCUGCAGACCAACAUGCACCAUUAUAUCUGAAAGCAGAAAAAUGCCCUCCAUCCCAAACUCAUGGCCUAGUCCUGUAAAACUGUGUUUCUGUAACAUCUCAAUACAAAACAGGCAGCAUUAAAGUUCAAUAGUCAGUUUCAAAGAUUCUUGAUUUUACCUAUGCCAAAGGUAUCAUUUCUAGAAGUCAAAAGUUGUCACAGAUAUAUCCAAUGUAAGGUUUAUAUUAAGCAAUGGCUAGAUAAAGUUUAUUAAAACUACUCCUCAUAUUCCAGAAGAAUGCCACUGCAUUAUGUAGCUACCUUAAUGUUCAUCCUGUUACAUCUCUGGUUGCCAUGGCAAUAUCCUCCUAGGUAUUUGUAAGGUCACAAAAAGAAGAGCUAACCCUCUUACUCCCAGAAUAACUAAUGCAGCUCAGUUACUGGCUUGAUGUAAAUAGUCUCAGGUGACAGCAAACUGUACAUAUAGUCAAUUACAACUGCUCAAAGGAAAUGAUUUGUUGUAAGAGCCUCUGUUCAACCUCGGUGACAUCAAUGUUUCUAUGGCAACAGUUGCCUCUUGCACUGCUUAGAAUUGAGUAUUGAUCAAACUAGGGCCAGCACUAUUUCAGAGACUUGCUACUUUUCUGUGUGGCAAUUUACAAUAGGAACUCAUAACAUCACUGUAUAUUUCAAGCCCCAAGGAACCAAUUUAGCAGACAGUUACAGUAGAAUAUUAGCAGAGGUCAAUAAUGGAAGUCUGAUUAUAGUCCUGGAACAAUUAUUCAAAGCUUUUGUUGUCUGCCCUUUCAUCACUCCACCAGCUAUUAAAAUCCUCAAAUAAUAAUAUUCAUCCCCAAAGAAAGUGCUGAAUUCAUUCAUCUUCUAUUUUAAACUUUAUUUUUCAUUGUUAUGUUACCUAUCAAUAAAAUUAUUCAGCUAUAUUAGCCAAGCUCUGACCUCUCAGAAGUAAAUAACUAUUGAUCAAGGAGUGGAGCUCUGAUGGCACCGUGCAGGGCUCCAUUAAUGGUCUCAUUGGCCCGGCAGAUAAGGUGAUUGUGGCAGGAGAGCGGGCACACAGCGCAGGGCCGCUCCCAGCGGAGAGCAGGCAGCACACGCCGUCCUGUGCGGGGGAUGGGGCUCCCUCCCCGGCGGGCAGAGCCGAAGGGAAAAGCCUCUGGAAAACCCGUGUGUUCCAGAAAUGGCACUGAGGCACUCACACCUCGCACACACAAUCCCUGCUCCGGGCACUCCCUCAUCUCAGAGGGGUCAGGGAAGUUUUCAUGUCACCUGCUCUCCUUUAUGAAAACAGAUACAGUGUGGGGGGCUUUUGUGUGUUGAAUGGCAAAAAUGGCCAGUGUCAAGACUAAUUAAGAAUUUGUCGUGAGUAAUAAUGCUGAGAAUAUCAAGAGAAUGAUGAUAAUCUGAGAAUGUUUCUUCUUCAUUAACUGCGAAGGGUUGCAGAUUGAACAGAUUUCUUGCUUCCUAAUUUUAAAAACAUCACACACACCAGCCUAUGAUUUGUCCCUCCUUUUCCUCCUACAGUAAUUUUUCUUUAUGCUUGAAAUAGGAAAAUGAAAGAAAACUCUUUGAUUGUUUGAAACAAUAAA